rnacentral:rRNA from 1 species
GACGUAGGAGGCGAGCGUUGUCCGGAGUUACUGGGCGUAAAGCGCGCGCAGGCGGCCCUGCGCGCUGCCGGUGAAAGCUCCCGGCUCACCUGGGAGAGGUUCGGCAGGACGGCAGGGCUGGAGGGCGGUAGAGGGUGGUGGAAUUCCCGGUGUAGUGGUGAAAUGCGUAGAGAUCGGGAGGAACACCCGUAGCGAAGGCGGCCACCUGGGCCGACCCUGACGCUGAGACACGAAAGCCAGGGGAGCGAACGGG